rnacentral:tRNA from 1 species
GUCGAUGUGGCGGAAUUGGUAGACGCGCUGGGUUUAGGUUCCAGUGGAUUUAUCCGUGGAGGUUCAAGUCCUCUCAUCGACA